AAGUCGUAACAAGGUUAACGUUAACCCCCUGUGAACCAGUUCGUACGCUUUGUCAGAGCGAGGCAAUCCCAGGUAAAUCAUCGCCACAAGUUUUGAUUCUGGGACUUCCUCAAAGAGUGUGCACCGCGCGAGGCAAGUGGCCCGACAUUCCCAAGCAAUUAGUGUCUGAACGUGUCAUGAGCUGUGUAAGGACGACGCAGUCACGAUCGUUGGCCGACACGGCCGACGACCGGGUCACUGGGCGAAAGCUCCUUUAUCACCCCUUUUAUGCAGGUCAGACGCCAGCCUUAAUUGAGCUGCAACAAAAAACCGAACAACUGUUAACAAUGGAUAUCUUGGUUCUC
rnacentral:misc_RNA from 1 species